AUGGGAGGCGGACGACGUGUCGAUCGGUGGGAAAAGCUUGGUAAACUGGAAGCUAGUUUGCUCGCCCAAAAAAAUAUGGAGGGCUGGGCGUUAAAAACAUUGAGUGCUUCAGUCGUGCGCUGCGAUUGCGUUGGGAAUGGUUUAAGUGGGAUAAUUGUGACAGGCCAUGGAAGGGGUCGGCCACACCUUGUGACAAUCUGGACAGGCAGUUGUUCUCCAGUUGUACAACGAUCUCCCUGGGUGAUGGUAGUGUGGCUAGCUUCUGGAUGGACCGGUGGCUGGACGGCGUGGCGCCAAUGGUGGUGGCUCCUGCCGUCUUCAAACUGGCACGGUUCAAAAAGAUCUCGGUGCGAGAGGGCUUGCAUAACGGAAGGUGGAUGA
rnacentral:rRNA from 1 species